rnacentral:rRNA from 1 species
UGGGGAAUAUUGCACAAUGGGCGAAAGCCUGAUGCAGCAACGCCGCGUGAGUGAUGAAGGUCUUCGGAUUGUAAAGCUCUGUCUUUUGGGACGAUAAUGACGGUACCAAAGGAGGAAGCCACGGCUAACUACGUGCCAGCAGCCGCGGUAAUACGUAGGUGGCGAGCGUUGUCCGGAUUUACUGGGCGUAAAGGGUGCGUAGGCGGAUGUUUAAGUGAGAUGUGAAAUACCCGGGCUUAACUUGGGUGCUGCAUUUCAAACUGGAUAUCUAGAGUGCAGGAGAGGAGAAUGGAAUUCCUAGUGUAGCGGUGAAAUGCGUAGAGAUUAGGAAGAACACCAGUGGCGAAGGCGAUUCUCUGGACUGUAACUGACGCUGAGGCACGAAAGCGCGGGUAGCAAACAGGAUUAGAUACCCUGGUAGUCCACGCCGUAAACGAUGAGUACUAGGUGUAGGAGGUAUCGACCCCUUCUGUGCCGCAGUAAACACAUUAAGUACUCCGCCUGGGAAGUACGAUCGCAAGAUUAAAAC